rnacentral:rRNA from 1 species
AUACAUAGCUCGUUGAGGGGAACUCGGGGAACUGAAACAUCUAAGUACCCGAAGGAAGAGAAAGAAAUUCGAUUCCGCUAGUAGCGGCGAGCGAACGCGGAACAGCCCAAACCUAAGAAGUUCGCUUCUUAGGGGUUGCGGACAUAUCAUCAGGAAGAGGUUAUUACAGACGAAGAGUUUUGGAAAGCUCCGCCAUAGAAGGUAACAGCCCUGUAGUCGAAGUGAGAAGACUUCCGAUAUGAUCCAGAGUACCACGGGACACGUGAAACCCCGUGGGAAGCAGGAGGGACCACCCUCCAAGGCUAAAUACUACCCGGUGACCGAUAGCGCAUAGUACCGUGAGGGAAAGGUGAAAAGAACCCCGGGAGGGGAG